rnacentral:rRNA from 1 species
GACGAACGCUGGCGGCGUGCCUAAUACAUGCAAGUUGAGCGCUGAAGGUUGGUACUUGUACCAACUGGAUGAGCAGCGAACGGGUGAGUAACGCGUGGAGAAUCUGCCUUUGAGCGGGGGACAACAUUUGGAAACGAAUGCUAAUACCGCAUAAAAACUUUAAACACAAGUUUUAAGUUUGAAAGAUGCAAUUGCAUCACUCAAAGAUGAUCCCGCGUUGUAUUAGCUAGUUGGUGAGGUAAAGGCUCACCAAGGCGAUGAUACAUAGCCGACCUGAGAGGGUGGUCGGCCACAUUGGGACUGAGACACGGCCCAAACUCCUACGGGAGGCAGCAGUAGGGAAUCUUCGGCAAUGGACGAAAGUCUGACCGAGAAACGCCGCGUGAGUGAAGAAGGUUUUCGGAUCGUAAAACUCUGUUGGUAGAGAAGAAAGUUGGUGAGCGUGGAAAGCUCAUCAAGUGACGGUAACUACGCAGAAAGGGACGGCUGACUACGUG